CAGGGCUGGUCUCAGGGGCAGCGCUCUGGGGGGCUCCACCAUGGCCUGGGCUCUGGUCCUCCUCACUCUCCUCACUCAGGGCACAGGUGA
rnacentral:pre_miRNA from 1 species